GAUACAUCAGAAAACCUGAACUUUGGUGCUGCAACUUCAGUUCUUCAAGCACUUGAUGAAAAGGCUAAAGACCAAGUGGAGAACCAUGUAGAGCAUGGGUCUGUGAUGAAAACUUCCAAAGCAAAGAAUAAGGUCAAAGAAGUAAUUAAUAAGUUUGGCCCUAAUACAUUUGUCCCACAUGAAAGAAACUCAGAGGACUGUGAGAUGCUCCAUUUUGACAAGAUCUUGUCACCCAUAGAAGAGCUCAUGAAGCAGAGCAAAGGCUUAAGCUUGAAAAUUUACAAGCAACAACAAUUCAUCAAGCAGAGGAAAGU